rnacentral:rRNA from 1 species
AUUGAACGCUGGCGGCAGGCCUAACACAUGCAAGUCGAGCGGAUGAAGGGAGCUUGCUCCUGGAUUCAGCGGCGGACGGGUGAGUAUUGCCUAUGAAUCUGCCUGGUUGUGGGGGAUAACGUCCGCAAACGGGCGCUAAUACCGCAUACUUCCUGAGGGAGAAAGUGGGGGAUCUUCGGACCUCACGCUAUCAGAUGAGCCUAGGUCGGAUUAGCUAGUUGGUGGGGUAAAGGCCUACCAAGGCGACGAUCCGUAACUGGUCUGAGAGGAUGAUCAGUCACACUGGAACUGAGACACGGUCAAGACUCCUACGGGAGGCAGCAGUGGGGAAUAGUGGACAAUGGGCGAAAGCCUGAUCCAGCCAGGCCGCGUGUGUGAAGAAGGUCUUCGGAUUGUAAAGCACUUUAAGUUGGGAGGAAGGGCAGUAAGUUAAUACCUUGCUGGUUUGACGUUACCAACAGAAUAAGCACCGGCUAACUUCGUG